AACAAAAUAAGAAAAGAGUCAGAUCUGGGCCAUUAAUUCGUGGCCCAAAACUUUCCUACCCGGCCCAAUUCCCUUCAUUAAAACCCUCAUAUAUCUAGACCUAAAGGGGAGGAGGAUCAGAACAGAGAUUAGACCCUUAUACCAAAAACCGGGCUGCUCUAUCUUCUUCACAAGCUAACCAUCGGACCCUAAUCUUCAGCAGCUAAUAACGACCCCCUCCCUCUCAUUCUUCUUUCUUUUUCUUUAACUCAUAUUCGUGCACGCCCUUGAAGAUCUGGUUGAAGAAGUCAAAAGAAAGAAGCGAAAAUUCCAAAAUCGGAUUUGAAAAGCUAAAGAAGAGGAAUUUCUUAAAAAUCUGGAUUUCUAGUUGUCUCUCAGAGUCAAAAUCACCGUUGUUCAUUGUUGAAGCUGUUGUAUCUGCGUAGCUGAACUCUCUUCGAUUUUCUUGACCUUUAUUUGGGUUCAUUUCCUUCUUCUUGUGAUAAAUUCAAGGUAAAUGUUCUUAUAUCUCGCUAAAUGUGCUGAGUUUUAUAAGAUGUUAUAGUUUUUAUGGUGCUGAAAUUGAAUUGCAUUCUUGGAAUCAUGCUUUCGAUUAUUAGAUCUGUUUUAUUGGUGUUUAUAUGUUAACGACUAAGUUAUGCUAAUGACUUGGGUCUGAGUUUUUUAAAAUUGGAGUUAGUUGUUAAUCCGUGUCGUUUGGUUUCUACUGUUGUUCUGCACUUUCAUGAUUUAUUCGUUGCUCAAAUGCUGACAUUUAUUUGCUUAAUUUUAUUGUUUUCCCUAGUAUUAGUUUGAUGUUCCUACUGUUAAAUUCCAUCCGCUAUUGCAAACUCUGUAUGACUAUGAGACUCGGUUAAAAAUAGUAUAUUGGGCUUUUUAUCCAUCUAGCCUCCAACAGACAAAGAAUAUGUCGACAUUUUUUCCCAGAAACAUAAUGAAGUACGACAUUAAGUUAUAUUUUAAGAGGAGUAGACAACCUUUUGCCAGUAUAUGAAAAGAAGAAGCAUAUGCAAAAUCUGAGCCUCCUUCGUAUCAUGAGGAACUUUGAGAAUCAUGUUUAAAUGUAAUGAAUGCAUAUGUUUGGAUUUGUUUGGCCAGACUUGCAAAAUUGUUAUGAUUUACAUUGAUUUAUAUAUGUAAUAAGCUCACUCGAACUUGGAACGUUAUUUCACUCUCAAUAGUCUAUUGAUUUGUCCAUGGUCUGAUGAAUGCAUAAUUGUUAACAUGCGUAGGGACUUGAGUUUGUUACUGAAUCAAUGACUAAC
rnacentral:lncRNA from 1 species